rnacentral:lncRNA from 1 species
AGAUUCUGGGCUGCAGCCCCGGGUCUCUUACCGUCACCAGCACACAGUGCAGGUCCGGGGUCUGCGCGGCGCCCCCGCUCUCCGCCGGGCCCGCGUCGUUCUCCAGUAGCAGCAGCUCAGCUAGCCGACCCGGGUUGCUGACCCGCAGGAUGUUGAUGUCGUUCUCGCAGCAGAACGCACGGAUGAGGGUGAAAUGGAUCUGCAGAGCCACAUCCCGGUCGUCGUCUUCGUCAGCAGCCAGCAGGCACAGUACCACGUUAUCGGGGUCUCUGCGGGCAGCGGGGCAGCGGUAACUGACUUGUCUGCACUCAAAACUCAGAGCCUGUCUUUCCCAGAGUAUCAGUUACUGCAGAGACUCAAGAGAUUUAAGUGCAGAAAAGAAGGGACUUUUGAGUGCUCAGUCCUAAGUUGAACAAUGAUAUCAUCCCCUCCAAAGCUCAAGAUGGUUGUAAGCCACCCUGUGAUUGCUGGGAUUUGAACUCAAGACCUCCGGAAGAGCAAUUAGUGCUCUUAACCGCUGAGCAAUCUCUCCAGCCCGACUCUGCAAGUUUCAGUGAGAUAUGUUCAAACUGGCCUAAAAUUUUCUAGAUGCUCAGACUGGCCCCAGCUUCCCAAAAGCUGAACUGGCAAGCAUGUGCCGCCAUGCCUGGUAAAAUCUGAGAUUUGCACGCAUUGCAAAACCAGUCCUGCAGGUUAGCACAGCGUAAUGGGCUUAAUUUUCAUAUGAGUGUGUCCUCAUCUGGCUUAUUCUCCUCCCACGCGGUCCUCAGAAGCCUUUCAAGGUCUGACCUAUGAGUGGACUUUCCAUCACCUCUCACUCCUCAUUCGGAAUGGGCAUUUGGGCAGUGUGGGACCGGAAGUAAGACCCUGCUCCUGAGAGUGUGGAAGAGAAAGCACCAUGAGACAAGACUGGGUAAAACCAAAGACUUCCUCAGCCACAAGGCAAUUAGGGAACCAGGAUACAUCUUCAAAGGGAGGGGCAGGGGCAGGACCUCUAUGCCAGUCAAGUGUUUUAACUUGGUGACAAACCGCAAUGAGUGAAGGGAAGCAGGGGUGGACUGGUUGGAGACUGAACUCGGAACUGCUUUGGGGAUCCUGCCACGCUGUCUUGGGGAGGGGGGGGCAAUGUCACCCACUCCCUUCAAUCUCUUGCAUUUACCAGCCUUGCCCAGCACUUGUGAAGUUCUUGCUGCUGUCUUAUCUGGGCUACAAGCCCUUUAAGGGGGACUCUGCCUUUCAGGGGGAAUGGUAAAUGUCCGAAUGAAGACCUGACUCCAGCAUGGUGUCUGGCACAACACCACUCUCUCUUAAAAGGAAAAACAAAACAAAACAAAACAAAACAAAAUUAUUCAACACUCUGGAAAUUUUGAUCUAAGAACCUGCGUGAGGAAAAAGAACCUAUUAUAUUUUUAAAAAUAAAACCUUUAUUUCUAUGGUCCUGC